GCCAGGCGUGGUGGCGCACGCCUGUAAUCCCAGCUACUUGGGAGGCUGAGACAGAAGAAUUGCCUGAACCUGGGAGAUGGAGGUUGUAGUGAGCCAAGAUCGUGCCACUGAACUUCAGCCUGGGUGAAAAAGCAAGACUCCAUCUCAA
rnacentral:SRP_RNA from 1 species